UUGUGGCGGGGCCGGCUGUGUGGCUGCCAGAGCGAAUGUGACCAGGAAGCUUCUGUCCCCCCGAGGUGGCCAGCGUUCCUGUUACACAUGCCGUAGGCAGAAGAUCUAUACAACCUGGCAUUUGGCCGUGGCUUCCAGGACAGGCUGGAUGCAGAGUGAAGUCCUCUCCUCACUGUCAAUGUUUGCAGAUGUCUUCUUGUAUAAACUCCGUAUUUCUUGAGACUUU